UAAGUGUAGUCCAGUGGUUUGAACUUCCAGU
rnacentral:piRNA from 1 species